rnacentral:rRNA from 1 species
CGGCGGACGGGUGAGUAACACGUGGGUAACCUACCUAUAAGACUGGGACAACUUCGGGAAACCGGAGCUAAUACCGGAUAAGAUAUCGAACCGCAUGGUUCGAUAGUGAAAGAUGGUUUUGCUAUCACUUAUAGAUGGACCCGCGCCGUAUUAGCUAGUUGGUGAGGUAACGGCUCACCAAGGCAACGAUACGUAGCCGACCUGAGAGGGUGAUCGGCCACACUGUAACUGAGACACGGUCCAGACUCCUACGGGAGGCAGCAGCC